rnacentral:rRNA from 1 species
CGUGGGUAACCAGCCCAAUAGAUCGGGAUAACACCUGGAAACAGAUGCUAAUACCGGAUAACAACAGAUGAUGCCUAUCAACUGUUUAAAAGAUGGUUCUGCUAUCACUCUUGGAUGGACCUGCGGUGCAUUAGCUAGUUGGUAGGGUAACGGCCUACCAAGGCGAUGAUGCAUAGCCGAGUUUAGAGACUGAUCGGCCACAUUGGGACUGAGACACGGCCCAAACUCCUACGGGAGGCAGCAGGA